UCAUCGGUAUGUUCUUAAUCCAACUUCUGAUCUAAAAGAGCUAGUUGAAAUGUACACCUUAAGCAGUACAGUCACAUGAUUGAUUAUGACUCAUCCGACCCCUAGUCGGUAUGUGCCUGGUCGGACCCCUAGUCGAUCAGUCUUUGAUCCAACCCCUAAUCGGAUGGUUCUUUAUCUGAAUUCUGGACGAAAAAGGUUUGGUCUGACC
rnacentral:lncRNA from 1 species